rnacentral:SRP_RNA from 1 species
GCCGGGCGUGGUGGCUCAUGCCUGUAAUCCCAACAUUUUGGGAGGCUGAGGCAGGUGGAUCACCUGAGGUCAGGAGUUCAAGACCAGCCUGACCAAUAUGGUGAAACCCCGUCUCUA